GGUCAUCUUCGCUCUAGUCGCCCCGCCUUCUCCCCUUGCGCCGGGCUCAAACCCCUAGCCCCCGACGAACCCGACCUAGGGUUUCCGCUUCCAGCAUGCCCCGCUGCUGACCUACCAACUUCCAUGGCGCUGGCAUCCUUGUCCCUGCCAUGAACACGGACGCACAACUCCGCUUUAAUUGCCGCAAGCGCUGCCUACCGGCUGACGGUCGCCUCGACGACCACUGGCGCGGCCAGCAGCGCAAGCGCCGCGGCGUCCGCGUCCUCGUUCCCGACUGCUUCCUCGUGCCCCCGCCGGAAGCCAAAUCCGCUGAUUUCGACAUGUGGGACUACAUCCGCAGCAUCCCGGACAUGUGGGACAACGGCCUGAGGCUGCUUAAGGACUGGGUCCGUGCGUCCAAGGAUGUGCCGCAGGAUCCGCCGGAUCUCACGUAUCUCACCAAGAACAACGAUGUGAAGCCAGGGCGCGUGGUGGGGAGUUGGAAAAUAGAGAACUCCAGGAAGGUCGCCUUGAAGGCGGUGAAACCGCGUUGGAAGGAUCUCCUCGAGGAGACGAGACAUAAUGACAAGAGGUUGCGCGAGAUCGGCGACGAGGUGGCCUUUCUGGAGAAGACGCUUGAGGAGCAGAGGAAGCUGGCUGAGCCGCCUAAGGAGGAUCUGUCUCAAUUCUUUGUACCUCUAACUGCUGAAGAUGAAAAGGAAGUUCAGGAUUGUUUGUAUGGUAAUGGUUCAAGUAGCAAAGUCCUGGUGCUGCAUGAACCGUCUAACAUUGAGGUUAGCAGGGAAAAAUUUCGGUGUUUGAGACCACAUGGCUGGUUAAAUGAUGAGGUCAUUAAUUUGUACCUUGAAUUGUUAAAGGAGAGGGGAAUAAGAGAACCAAAAAGGUUCUUGAAAUGCCAUUUCUUCAAUACAUUUUUUUAUAAGAAGCUUGCUUGUGGAAAAACUGGAUAUGACUACAAAUCUGUAAAAAGAUGGACUACCUCCAGGAAGUUGGGUUAUGAGCUCAUUGAAUGUGAUAAAAUCUUUGUCCCCGUACAUCAAAAUGUGCAUUGGUGUUUGGCAGUUAUAAACAUAAAGGCGAAGACAGUACAAUAUCUUGAUUCUCUUGGCGGCAAUGAUCUUCGUGUAUACGAAAUGCUGGCUAGAUAUAUUGUAGAUGAAGUGAAGGACAAGAGUAAUAAAGAGAUUGACAUAAGUUCUGGGACCAAAGAAUCUAUUGAUUGUAUUCCUUUACAAGAGAAUGGGUUUGAUUGUGGUAUGUUUAUGCUCAAGUACAUUGAUUUCCUCAGCAGAGGAGUCAGCUUAUCUUUUGGUCAGGUGAGUAAAUUUGAUCUGCCAAAAAUUUAGCAGACUGGAUUUGUUUUUGGGAAUGGAGAUGCUUAUUCUAGAUUGAUGCAUACACAUUCGGGCUAAGGAACACAUGGAAUACUUUCGGAGGAGAACAGCUAAGGAAAUCUUAAGACUAAGGGCUGACUAAGUUUCCUCUUUUUGUUGGAAAAUAAAGACAAUUAAGUUCUGCAAAUAUUAAUUAUUUGGCCAUUCUCCAAAACUGUGCCUUCACCUUGGAUGUUGCUGGCAAAGAUAGAAAAUGUCCAUUCCCGUGAGAAACUGAAGAGUUGUCGGCCGUGAUCUCAAACUGCUGGCGUUGAAGGAUGCAGAUGCUAACAAAUUUCUGUAAAGCUCUUCUAUAUAUGGAUUUGAUUGGCAGGAGCAGAAAAAAGGAAAGAAAUCUUGAAUAGGGUUUUGAGAUUUUUUUUUUAACUUAGAGAAGCCUAGUAUUAAACCAGUGGCAUCUUCCUUCUGUUAACUUGCUUUUGUUUCAGAGUUAGAAAAAUGGGUUUUCCUGUUUUGUUAGUUUCGAUGGCAAAAAAAUCUGAAGUUUUGGUCCGUGUAAAUUUCUGUAUCUAUUCACCGCAGUGACAUUUAAUCGCUCAUGUAGAGUUUU